rnacentral:rRNA from 1 species
AGCAGCCGCGGUAAUUCCAGCUCCAAUAGCGUAUAUUAAAGUUGUUGCAGUUAAAAAGCUCGUAGUUGAAUUUCGGGGUUAGUAAGUUGGUCAUGCCUUCGGUAUGCACUGGCUUUACUGAUUCCUCCUUCUUGACGAACCGUGAUGUCAUUAAUUUGGUGUUGCGGGAAAUCAGGACUGUUACUUUGAAAAAAUUAGAGUGUUUAAAGCAGGCUAACGCUUGAAUACAUUAGCAUGGAAUAAUGAAAUAGGACGUUAAUCCUAUUUUGUUGGUUUCUAGGAUCGACGUAAUGAUUAAUAGGGAUAGUUGGGGGCAUUAGUAUUCAAUUGUCAGAGGUGUAAUUCUUGGAUUUAUUGAAGACUAACUACUGCGAAAGCAUUUGCCAAGGAUGUUUUCAUUAAUCAAGAACGAAAGUUAGGGGAUCGAAGACGAUCAGAUACCGUCGUAGUCUUAACCAUAAACUAUGCCGACUAGGGAUCGGAUGAUGUUAAUUCUUUAAUGACUCA